UACGAGGGGUGCAAGCGUUGCUCGGAAUUAUUGGGCGUAAAGGGUUGGUAGGUGGUCUUAUUUGUGUGGGGUGAAAGCCUUGAGCUUAACUCAAGAAGUGCCCCGCAAACGGUGAGACUAGAAUCUUGGAGAGGCGAGCGGAAUUCCCGGUGUAGCGGUGAAAUGCGUAGAUAUCAAGAGGAACACCUGAGGUGAAGACGGGUUGCUGGGCUGACACUGACGCUGAGGCGCGAAAGCCAGGGGAGCAAACGGG
rnacentral:rRNA from 1 species